rnacentral:tRNA from 1 species
UCGGGGUGUGGCUCAGCCUGGUAGAGCGCUGCCUUCGGGAGGCAGAUGUCGCAGGUUCAAAUCCUGUCACCCCGAU